AGAACGAACGCUGGCGGCAGGCUUAACACAUGCAAGUCGAGCGCCCAGCAAUGGGAGCGGCGGACGGGUGAGUAACACGUGGGAACAUGCCCUUUGGUACGGGACAACUCAGGGAAACUUGAGCUAAUACCGUAUGAGCCGGUAACGGGAAAGAUUUAUCGCCAAAGGAAUGGCCCGCGUCCGAUUAGCUAGUUGGUGAGGUAAUGGCUCACCAAGGCACCGAUCGGUAGCUGGUUUGAGAGAACGACCAGCCACACUGGGACUGAGACACGGCCCAGACUCCUACGGGAGGCAGCAGUGGGGAAUCUUGGACAAUGGGGGCAACCCUGAUCCAGCCAUGCCGCGUGAGUGAUGAAGGCCUUCGGGUUGUAAAACUCUUUCGGACGGGGACGAGUAAUGACGGUACCCGUAGAAGAAGCUACCGGCUAACUUCGCGCCAGCAGCCGC
rnacentral:rRNA from 1 species